CGGCACAAUACUCCAGGACUGGUCGGAUGUAAGGCACGUACACUGUGACUAGGUCACCGAUGGAUUCGUGGAAGUGUUUUAGUUUGCGAAGGAGGAACAGACGUCGACUUGAUUUGCUACAAAUGGAGUCAACAUGGGAGUUCCAUCGUAGAUCAGACUGAAGCAGCACACCAAGAAUUCUCAUUACUACAACCUGUUGGAGCUCUGUGUUGUCGAUCUUAAGGGGAGGUGUUGGGUACGGGAUCUUCCUGAAUUGAAUAUGCAUGACUUGACACUUAUUGGGAUGCAGCUUCAUAUGGCUCGUUCGAGACCAGUUGUCCAAGUCGUUUAAGUCCUUUUGCUUACUUGAAAGAUUUAGGUUGGGGGUUCUAAUUUUCAACAAAUUCAUGUCAUCAACGAAUUUCCAGCGUUUGGAGGCAGCCUGGUGUGCGGCACUGUUGAUAUACGCAAGGAAAAUCAAUGGCCCCAGUGGAGUCCCCUGUGGUAAUCCACAGGUCACCUUCAAGCUGUCGGAAAGUGUUCCAUGAUCUCAAAAGAACACGGAUGUAAUUGUUUGCUUUGGAAAUGGCACAGGAAUCUAAAAUUCCCGCAAAGAGCCUGUGCUACAUAUGUCUGGCUUUUCUCUUGUUGUACCUUCUCCCGGUAUUCUAUUAUAAUACAGGAGACAAGAACAUUAUUUCUUCGCAUCCACAUCAAGUUAAUACUAAACAGAAACAUGGCCAAAGACGACAAAACGUCGUCACAUCGGCAGUUCACAAUCAACAACAAGAGAUAAGCAUAAGCCGGGUGACCAGUGCUUGCACAACUUCAUUACAACUUAUCAACACUCGUGAUGUCUAUAACGUUGGGGAAACUCUGUUUAUUAGAAUAGUUGCCAAAGAUGCAAUGGCACGGCCAAAAAAUUACGGAGAAGAUUUUUUUUUUAGCCAAGCUAUACUCAAACUCUUCGAUACAGGCCUGCUUUCCCGGUAAAAUAACAGACUAUGGAAAUGGAACUUAUCUCGCUAAGUUCCUUCUAAGUUGGCCAGGAAAAUUAUCCAUUUCGGUUAAGCUAUUACGUUCGAGUGAAGCUGUUCAAGUUCUCAGAAGGGUUCGUGAUACAUUCCUUGAUAGAAGGGUUACGAUUUGCAAUUUCGUUGAUGAAAAGACUUUCGGAAUGGACAAAAUGCGCCUUCAGUCGUAACGACAGCGUCAACCCACGAGAUGUCUGUGAUUAUUCCAAGCCAAUACCCAAUGCUACAUUUUACUGCGAAAGACCACCAACGAUUUCUUGUAAUUCAAUAUUAGAAUGCAAACGUGACAUUCAAGCCACAGAAAGUCUUCCGAAGAAUAUGGUCAGCAGGGACGAGCUACACCUGUUUAACAGGCCUCUUCGGGAAGUUCCGACAAACAUUACCAUCAAUGUGAAGGGGAAAGGCAAGUAUGGGAGUUGAUUAUGAGUAUAUUGCUAAGCAAGGAUAUUAUACAUCCACACCUUAUCUGUUAUAUACAUGUUAACUGUUAUGGGGCAUUUCGGACCUUCUCCGGAAUUCGAUCUGUCCUGGUCGUGUAUGUAAAUUUACGGGUUUAGUGUGCACUAUUCUAGAUAUUCGAAUAAAUUACAAGACGGUUCUUGGAUUGCAUGUGUACUGGGAUCUAAACAUUUGGCAUGAAGUUAAAAGUGGCUAACUAGUGAAAAGCAUUAUGAAACACAAGGCUUAAGUAUCCUAUUCGAUGACAUGGUUUUACAUUUACAAUUUCUUCAGUAUUUCUAGCAUUGUACUAUCUCUAAUCG